GCUCAGGAUGAACGCUGCGGCGUGCUUACACAUGCAAGUCGAACGAUGAAGCCCCAGCUUGCUGGGUGGAUUAGUGGCGAACGGGUGAGUAACACGUGAGUAACCUGCCCUUAACUCUGGGAUAAGCCUGGGAAACUGGGUCUAAUACCGGAUAGGAGCGUCCACCGCAUGGUGGGUGUUGGAAAGAUUUAUCGGUUUUGGAUGGACUCGCGGCCUAUCAGCUUGUUGGUGAGGUAAUGGCUCACCAAGGCGACGACGGGUAGCCGGCCUGAGAGGGUGACCGGCCACACUGGGACUGAGACACGGCCCAGACUCCUACGGGAGGCAGCAGUGGGGAAUAUUGCACAAUGGGCGCAAGCCUGAUGCAGCGACGCCGCGUGAGGGAUGACGGCCUUCGGGUUGUAAACCUCUUUCAGUAGGGAAGAAGCGAAAGUGACGGUACCUGCAGAAGAAGCACCGGCUAACUACGUGCCAGCAGCCGCGGUAAUACGUAGGGUGCGAGCGUUAUCCGGAAUUAUUGGGCGUAAAGAGCUCGUAGGCGGUUUGUCGCGUCUGUCGUGAAAGUCCGGGGCUUAACCCCGGAUCUGCGGUGGGUACGGGCAGACUAGAGUGCAGUAGGGGAGACUGGAAUUCCUGGUGUAGCGGUGGAAUGCGCAGAUAUCAGGAGGAACACCGAUGGCGAAGGCAGGUCUCUGGGCUGUAACUGACGCUGAGGAGCGAAAGCAUGGGGAGCGAACAGGAUUAGAUACCCUGGUAGUCCAUGCCGUAAACGUUGGGCACUAGGUGUGGGGACCAUUCCACGGUUUCCGCGCCGCAGCUAACGCAUUAAGUGC
rnacentral:rRNA from 1 species